rnacentral:rRNA from 1 species
AUUGAACGCUGGCGGCAGGCCUAACACAUGCAAGUCGGGCGGAUGAAGGGAGCUUGCUCCUGGAUUCAGCGGCGGACGGGUGAGUAAUGCCUAGGAAUCUGCCUGGUAGUGGGGGAUAACGUCCGGAAACGGGCGCUAAUACCGCAUACGUCCUGAGGGAGAAAGUGGGGGAUCUUCGGACCUCACGCUAUCAGAUGAGCCUAGGUCGGAUUAGCUAGUUGGUGGGGUAAAGGCCUACCAAGGCGACGAUCCGUAACUGGUCUGAGAGGAUGAUCAGUCAAACUGGAACUGAGACACGGUCCAGACUCCUAAGGGAGGCAGCAGUGGGGAAUAUUGGACAAUGGGCGAAAGCCUGAUCCAGGCAUGGCGCGUGUGUGAAGAAGGUCUUCGGAUUGGAAAGCACUUUUAGGUGGGAGGAAGGGCAGUAAGUUAAAACCUUGCUGUUUUGACGUUACCAACAGAAUAAGCACCGGCUAACUUCGUG